GGACCGGCUCAGGUGAAGUCCAUCUUCCCUGUUAAAGUUAUCAGGAUGAAGUUCGAUCUCGAUGGCUUCCCUGAUUAACCGGUCCAUGUAGCCGGUUUUUGAGGAGAGGAUAGAAGUGUCCUCUAGCUGUAUCUUGUGCUCCAAGUUGAAGCGGUGUUCAGCAACCGCAGAUUUCUCGGGCUGCCCGAGCCGGAUGUGGCGUUCGUGCUCCUUGAUCCUGGCCUCAACGGAACGGCCUGUCUGGCCGAUGUAGACUUUUCCGCACUCGCAGGGAACUCUGUAUACGCCAGGCGUCUUCAGUCCUAGGUCGUCCUUUACCGGCCGGAGAAAACUGGGAAUUUUCUUUGGCGGAAGACCAACAGACUUGAUGUCGUGCCUGGCCAGCAACCUGCUUAUGCGGUUGAAGGUCGUCCCGACGUAGGGCAGGAAGGCAACCGAGGCUGGUUUUCCAGUAGGCGGUGGCAGCCUCGCAGGCGGAUUGAGAGCUUUCUGAAUCUGACGGUUGCUGUAUCCGUUUUUCCUGAAGGUGGUGCUCUUCGCCAAGUAACAAUAUUCCCCUCAUGCGCAUUGUGCAGUCAGCAAAGCACACCGAGGGACGAGGAUCGAAGGUACACCUUACCAACAAGGACCGCAUGCGCAAGAGUCACUACUGUUGCCUGGACACCGAGUCAGUGACUCUAUUUCAGAGUGACACAGGCUCCAAAUACUUCAAGGAAAUUCCACUUGCUGAGAUCCUGUCAGUUGGUACUGCUCAAAGUCUUGAUGGAGGUGGCUGAAGUUGAAUCAUUGUGUAGAAGGACAGGAGUGGAAAGGUUUGCUUCAGUGGAGUUCCCAGGUUUGAAAUGUGAUUUUAUGCACUUCAUUGAUGUUCAUUUAAUACAGAUACAGAUCUAUUGUUACAUUAUUUAUUGCCCCUACAGAUAACACAGGAAGGAUUUAUUCUUUUGCAUCAUUAAAUGUCCAGCACUUUGAAAUUAUUAAAAUAAAAGUUGUAUACAUGCUGUAUAUAAUGUAAUGUAAUUUGACAGUUCUUUUUAUGAUCUGUUUUGGACAAAUUUAUUUUAGUUUCAUCGUAUUGUUGUAAUAGAUACCUUCCAUAUAUGCGCUCAAUUUGUUCUUUGUUUUUUUUUCUAUGCAGAAGAACUAUAAAAAUGCUUAUGUUGGCUUUACCAAGUCUGUCCAUGGGCAAUACUUUGAGAAUUGUAAACAAUGCUUAACCAAAUGAUUUCCAUGUUUCUUAUUCCACAUUCUAGGAAAAUAUAAGAAAAGUCAGCAGUCUCCAUGUCGAUAGGAAUCAGACCGCUUCCUAUAUUAAACAGAUAAAUGAAGAAAGAGUACAAGUCACACAUAGGAAAGCUGGACUGGAGGCAAGAAAUGAACAACGCAGUUCCUUCCACAAUUGUUUUCUUCUUUCUGGAGACUCUAAUGAAAAUGUUUGACCUUGUAAAGAAGUGAAAAUGACUAAUUUGAACUGUUGCAGGACAUUGACUGGUGGAGCAUUGGGGUCAUCACCUAUGAAAUGUUGGCAGGCCACGGGCCGUUUGAAUCUGAUGGCAACGUGAGAGACUUGCAAACGCUCUACACUAAAAUCGUACUUGACAAACCAGACAUUCCGACAUGGCUGUCAAAGUACGUGGCAGACGUUGACAAGAAUCCAGAUUCUCAUCUUGAUAGCGCCAAAGAUGGCGCACUGGACAUCAGGUGGCAUCCAUUCUUUGACGGACUCAAAUGGGGUGACGUGAUGGCGAAGAAAUACCAGAUGCCGCGCCCCCCCACCACCAUGACCAGUCGGCUCUAUAGCGUCCAGUCAGAUACGAGACAGCGUCUUCAACCGGAGUGAGGACAAUUACGACGUAAGUAAAAGUACUUUGUCUGACAUUUUAGUAUGUGCUGCAUAGUAACGGGAUUAUAUUCGGUGAUCCUGUUACAUUUGGAACUGGUGUUUCCAUGUUUCCUUGAAAAUGUUUUAGUAAUUAAAAGUUCUAUGGCAAUUGGACUUAUCACAGUGGAAACGGGUGGUGAUUUUCUACACUCUGCGCCUAAUAUUAGCCCCUGUAGUCGAAAACAAUCCCGUUACUUGAUAGUCUCCUCUAUUUGCAGGAACUUGGUAAGAAAAGAUUGUUCAGUCUUAUGGGCUUUUAUUUCGAAUGGCACCUUCUGUACAAAGUCAAAUUUUUAAAUUCGUGUCACCACACUGUGGUGUAAUAUAAAAACACUUCUUGUAUAAGAAGGCAAUACAGAAAAAACUCACCUUUCUCUCUCUACUUUCUCUCCCUCUCCCACUCUCGCCCACGUGCUACCAUUGGUCCACUCCCAUGCC